UUUGUACAAUCAAGCAGAGGAGGCUCAACUUCACUCAGGCCUCCUUCCCUGCCCUGGCAAGAGCCUGGGGUUACACACUAAGCUGACUUCCUUCCAAUAGAGCUCCACCCUCCUCCUGGUGAAGGAGCCAUGUGCUGCUGAAAGGUUUGUUUCUCUGACCACCCUCCAAACUCCCAGCCCUGGUUGAGACCUUUGCUCUCCACUCCUAUUGGAGCCUGCUUGGGUUCCCCAGCUCUUAGGAGUCUUUGAGUCCCAGUGAGCAUGUGUGUUUCCUUCCAGCUGUGAUCAAAUGCACCCUUGGGCUGGUUUGUUUUUCUUCUCAAUAGGUUAGCCAAGUCCCUAGCCCCACAGUGUACCUCCAACCACUCUCUCCUAACCUAGCUGCUGAUAUCAGAGCAAAGUCCCCUUCUUGUACCCUGUCUGACAGGGAGAGUAGAUCAGUGCCUGACCUAGAAGGAAACAGAGUGCAGGGCUCUCUUAUCCCUGAGCCACCCUUGCCAUGUGAUUAAAGGUCCCAUGUCCCAGGAGGUCUUCGGAACAGACAACCAGUCUGACUAAAAUCUGAGUCUUUGGAAACAAGUAGAUUAAAAACAGAAGUCACUCCUAAGCAUUUCGGGGAUGCAUGUGAACCACAGACAGGCCCAAAUCAAGGUGAUUUAAAGCUGUCACCAGCCUGUGAUGAGAAAGCUAGGAAAGAGCUGGGGCCACCAGGAAAAGAGAAGGGGCUGUGGCUAUCAGAACUCAGCUCCCAUGGCUGUGUGAUUACAGGCAUCCUGCAAACCUGGCAUUUGCACAUCUCUGAAGUGCUGUGAGAGAGGAAGACUCUAAUCUGAGGCAUAAGUAGUGCCUUGAACCAUGUAACCCUGUUAUUAGCUUAAGUAUCUAUGUGGUGCUAACAUGUUAGAGCUGCCUCAAAGGAGGAUACUGCUCUCUUUCUGAAAUAGUGUUAAACUAUUCGGGGAUCUCACACUCUUUAACCUUUGAAACCAUUGAACACAAGAAUGAAGGAGCCCAAGAGUGAGUCUAACUCAAAGAUUUGGGAUCACUGAAGGGAAAGAUAUGUUGGAGGGAUGUUGUGGGGAGAUGUAGGCUUUUUUAAAAAAUGAACCAGUUGUAUCAGGGACUUUCCCAUCCUAUAGAGGAGGCUUGGUAAGAAAUAGUAAGGGUGGGCUGUGACAUUAAUGAGAUAGUCUGGUGACAGAUGAGACAUGGGAAGGUGGCAGGGUAGAUCAGUAUUAGCUCUACCGAGGAAACUGCAUUAGGAGUUAUUUGAAAGCUUCUGGGACACGUUUACGGAGGAAAAUCUUGAUGGUCUUGGCUCUCAUCUGCUUUUCCUCGCUAUCUAUAUAAGAUAAUCCACGCCCACACCAUACACAUGUGCCCUUAGAAACUGGGAGUUUGAAUUUGACUAUAAAGAAGGCUGUUUAAUCCCAGUCCUUCAUGCUAUCUGGCCUUCAAAUUAAUAUCACAAUGACAUCUUGGUCCACAGGUGUGCCCUGCCCUGAGAAUGCAGAGAGCCUAGCUGGCUUCUUAAUGGUGUUUGCAUCAUGAAGGGCUCUUCCUUGUUCCUAACCACUUCUGUUUUGUGCUUACCUGGAAUGGUGACAAUACUAUGAGGUUAUAAAAACAGCUGGAAUGAGUUCCAUAAUUAGCAACAGCUUUCAAAAUCCACAAUACCCCUGAGGGAAAAUAAAAGGAAGACUCAUUCUGUUUUUGUGAUCUGUCAAGAUUCUUGUGUCAAGAUUCUAUCUCACCUAGUGCUUAAAGAGUUUCUAAACUGGAAGUUAACAUUUCUUUGCUCCUGAAGUCUUACAGAAGUAAGAGGACUGGAGAAAUGGCUCCAUGGGUAAAGUGCUUUCUGGACCGUAGUUCAGAUCUCCAGUGACCACAUAAAAUAUAGGUGUGGCAGUGCACACUUCUAACUGUAGGACUGCGGGAGGGAGGGAGAAAGGCAGAGACAGUUGGGUCUUCAGAGUAGCAUGACCAGCCUGAUUAGCAGACCAGUGAGCACAAGGUUCAGUGUGUGACUCUAUCUAAAAUAAUAGCAAUAUCAUCAUCAUUAUCAAUAACACAAUGUAGAGAGUGAUUCUAGAAGACAGACAAUAUCAACCUCUGACCUAUACUUGUGUGUCUGCACCUAUAUGUAUACAUAUGUAUAUUCAAGUAUGUCUGCCCAUGUCUACACAUGCAUGCACACACAUACAUACAUACACACACAGAGAAAAAGAGAGACAGAGAGACAGAGACAAACAAGAGAGUCAGAAGGAGAGAUUUCUGCACUAGCUAAAGACAUACCAGCAACAACUGUUCCAAAUUUCUACUCAGUAUUAGGUUGCUCACAUAUGCAGAAAACACUUUGUAAAUCAUAAAAAAAAAAAUCUUCCAGUAGAAAAUUCGUAUCUAGUAUCAUCUUGCUUUUUCCCUUCUUUAUUGUAAUCUAAAUUUAAAUACUGUUUUGGGGUAAUUCACCACGAAGCCAUUGUGUACAUGAACAAUACAUGUGUGUCUUCCUAACAUCUCAGUCAGAAUUGGAAUAAGUGAUCCACUAUGAAGUUAGGAAGGGUGCAUAUGUCCCUGGAAAGUUAAAUGCCACCUAAACUAGAGGUUUACAACUAUACAAUAAAGAUUUUAUGAAGUUGGACAUGGUGAAAAACAGUUGAAAUCCCAGCACUAUGGAGGCAGGAAGAAUCAGUAGUUCAAGGAUAGCCUGGGCUAUAUGGGAAGAUCCUGGCUCAAAAAAUAUUGAAAGG
rnacentral:lncRNA from 1 species